UCUACCCACUUUGUUUUUUCUAAAGCCUGGAUGCCCAAUUGUUCUACAUGACGACACCUCCUUUCUACCCACUUUGGUCGGAACCGAAGCCAGGAAAGUGCGCGCUCUUUGUAUGCGAUCUCCACGGUGUACGGACGUGUGUGUGAACCAGAAUAAUUUGUAACCCUUUAGAACUAUCUGAAUUACCGAAAUACAAGAACUUUUACUUCGUAAAUACAACAACUGGCGACGAGAAUACCACGAUGUCGAAUCCACCUGCAAAAGAAAGCUCAGAACAAUGGAUAAUAGAAAUGUUCAACCAGCAAAAGCAAAUGCUUGAUCAGCAGCAGCAGCUCUUGAACAGUGUAUUGUCGGUGAUGAAAACAAAAAAAUGAUGAUGGAUCGGAGAAAGCGAUCGAUGCCAUUGCGGGGCAAAUAAAAGAAUUUCACCACACAGAGGAUACAAACUUCGAGGCUUGGUAUAGCAGAUACGGAGGUUUGUUUCUUGACGAUGCGAAGCGGUUGGAUGACAGAGCAAAAUUGCGUCUUCUUCUUCGUAAGAUUGGCGUUACGGAGCACGAACGCUAUAUAAGUUCCAUCAUGCCGAAACAACCGAAAGACUUCAAUUUCAAAAACACCGUGGAGAAGCUGAAAAAACUGUUUGGAGACCGUGAGUCCAUCGUGUGCAAACGGUUUAAAUGCUUACAGCUAGUGAAAGAGCCUCACGAAGAGUACGGAGCGUAUGCGUGCCGCGUAAAUAAAAAGGUUGUUGAGGCGAAGUUGGCGGGGAUAGCAGAGGAGGAAAUAAAAUGUCUGUUGUUUGUCUGUGUUCUAAAACGGGAUGCGGAUGCCGAUGUACGAGUUCGGCUGCUCUCAAAGAUGGAGGACAACAGUGUGUUGUGGACAGACCGCUGCCUCAUCCUGAGGGCUCACUGUUGACAGCAGGGCUGUCAUCCUGUGACGUCCUCAGUGAGGAUCGCGGCGCGAGAAGGACCAGCCGUCUUCUCCCCGCAUUGCGUGUUAUUGUGUGGUAUUAUUUAUUAUUGUAAACAGUUGAACAUAUACCAACGAUAGUGAUAAAAUACAUAUUCUGUUUGUGCCGUACACCACCGUCUUCAUGUUUGUUUUGUGCGGACACAACACAGUGAAAUCACGUUAGAUCAGCUAACCGGUGAAGCUCAACGCCUGCUUAACCUGCGCCAAGAUAACAACCUUAUCUCAAACACUGCGCAUGAGGUAAACGCAGUGAGAAAGAAUGAGACAAAACAACAAAACAUCAAAGGAGGUGGCAAGGAAGCGAAAGCAAUAAGUUGCUGGUUGUGCGGAGGGCAACACUUUGCACGAGAAAGUUCUUUUGCGUCACACAAAUGUGAGGACUGCAACGAGAUAGGUCACAAGGAAGGAUUUUGUGAAACGGCGUACCGUAAUCGUUCUCGCUAUCGCAAUAACAAACCGAAGAAAUCGCCGUAAACCGAACCUCGUGUGACUAAAUGCUAGUCCAGCAUCUUGCGUGUUACACCAUUCCGGAUCGUGCCAGACGAGCUGCACAGAGCGAUAAAAAGGAGUUUCAGCAUAACUGCCCGGUGCUUUUGCAGUAGCGUGAAAUUGUUAAAGGAAAAAAUGAAUUCGAGUGAUUAUGGAGCUGCUACGCGUCAACGAGAAGACGAUGGGGAACAUAUUUCAUCGAUAGACGAUUUUGAAGAUGAAUUGAUUGAAUGUGACGGAGAAAAGGACUCAUCAUAUUCUUCAAGCGAUGUGAUGGGACUAUUGAAACAAAUUUAAAAAAAUCAAGAAACUAUACUUGAUGAAUUGCGCAGUCAGAGAGAAGAAUUUUUGGAACUGAAAAAUAGCCAAAACGGUAUUUUAGAAAGUUUAUCGAAGCAAUCGAAAAAAAUUACGCAUGUUCAAGUUUUUGUUGAACAAAUUAGCAACGUGGUAUGUGUAGGGAAAGGUGUAGGAGCUCAAUCAAAAGUCCCAGAAUGGUUUCAAAAACCAAAAACAAAAGACGAUAUGGAUAAUUUCAACCAAAGUUUAGGAACAGAGGAUAAUUUCAAGGAUAAUAUACACAAAUGGCUGGAUGAAAUAACGCAUAAAGAAAGCGGAAG